AGUGUUAGUGUGUUGACCCAGGCAGGAAGAAGGUUCCUGACACAGAGGUGACACAGUGGCUCAUCUUCUCGUCUAUGCUCUUUUUAAAGAGACUGGCAGUCGAGGCAUUCUGUUUGGUCAAGUGAUUAUUAUUCUGGGAGCUGAUGUGCAGUCUGAAUAAUUUGAAAUCUUCACCGAUGUACAGUAUUGCUCAGAGACUCCCCCGUCUGUCAUAUACAGGAAAAGGAUGACCAUCUGGGAAAACAUUACAUUUGGAAAACUUGGUGCAGUUAAACCAACCAUACUCAUCAAUCCAGGAAGUCCAGUUAUACACAUAUUGACCAGGAAAGAAUGAAGAUGCUAGAAAAUAAAACAUGGUGUUAGUGACUUAUACAGCUCAUGUGGGAGUCAGAUUUAAAAAUUUGCCUUCCAAUAAAUUAUUAGAUAUUGAAUAUCUGCAACAAAAUGCAUGCUUGAGGCCCUAAAAGUUUCAUUGCAACAGAUCAGAAACAUAUUAACAGAGAUUGGAAGGCUAUUGUAUACAUCAGAAUUAUACUGUACCUCUGAGAAGGUGACAUGCCUCUGAAUAGAGGGUUCCGAUUUCUGAAGAGCCAAUCAGCCUUCCAAUUUCACGUGUGACUGAGAUCUUAUUUGCCAGCAAAGGAAUGCCACAAUAGUUGCCCCGAUUCAUGGACCCAUGCUGCCACUGCCGUGAGAACUGAAUGGCUAGCCACUACAAAAAAAUCAUAAGACCAAGGAGCUUCUCAAUAUGCUCUCGUGGGAGAACCUAUUUCCGUAAUUGUGGGUGAUUUUUUUUUUGUUUAUAGCUAAGUUUCCUACUAUUAACACAAAAUUCUUUAUCACUUCAAUGUAUAAGCAGCUGCUUCAACCAAGUUCAAGGCCUGCCCUCAAUUAAUGUUAAACCUAUUUUACUUUGGCUGACAAUCUAAAUGACUUAAUUCACAUAUAUGUUAUUGGCAUCAUUUGAUUCAAUUUGUCUGUCUCGGGGGAAAAAAUAUCUCAAACUAUUUGUAACAAAAUUACAAAUGGGAGUAUUAAGAAUGAUUUUGUUACAAAUAAUGACAUUUUCCCUCUUUGUGACUUGAGGUAACAAAGGACAUUGAAGCUUUGUGCCCCAAUUCAUGUUGGUGCAGCGCAUUGCUUAGCCUAUGCAUCAGGAUCACCCUCAUAAUGAUCCCCACAUCCAGCUGAUUACUAGAUAUAGAGUUGAAAGAGUGUUCCUUUAAGAGUGAGGCAUUUAGAAUCUCUGCUGGAAGAUCUUGCUGCUGAAUUAGUUCACAAUAGACAAAAUAAUCAGAAUGAACUUUUCUACUAAGUACUUUGAGCAUUCACACUUUUAUAAAUUGUGUAAUAUCAGGAGGUAGUUAAAAUAGGCGUUGUUAGUCAGAGGGUUGGUUUUCAAUGAUUCCUUCAUGUGAUCAGCUCCUGAAAACUAUGGUCCAGAUUUUGCUGGAGUAGGACAUCUCACAGUGUACCUGUUGUUGCCCUGGGAUUUAAAGAUUAAAAAACUAAACAGUGCAGGGACUGAGAAGGAGGAUGAAUUUGAGUAGGUGAAUUCAAUGCCAAAUCAGGCUCUGAAGAGUAAUAGAGAGGGAAAGAAAUAGAUCGGAAGGAAAACUUAGGAAAAGGAGCACACUGUUUAGCCCCUCGAGUAUGUUCCACCUUUCAAUGAGAUUGUGAUUGACCUGCAACUCAAUUCCACAUCCCUGUCUUUGCCCCAUAAUUCCUUAGUACCUUUGAUAACAAAAAUCUAUCAAUCUCAGAUUUAAAGUUUACAAUUGAUCUAGCAUCAGUUAUCAUUUAUGGAAGAGUUCCAAACUUCUACCACCCUCUGCACCUGGAAGUGUUUCCUAAUUUCACUCCUUAAGGUCUGAUUCCAACUUUCAGACCUGGCCCCUUUAGUACUAGACUCCCCAACCAACAUAGUUUCUUUCUAUUUAACUGGUCCCUGACAGAAUGUAUGUGUUCUCUAACUGCCCGUAAUCAGUAUGGUUUGUAUGGAGAGGGAUGUGUCUUUUCUUAGCUUUGGAAUGUGUAUUCCAAUUAAAUAAUUCAGCAGCAAGCUUUCAUGAGUUUAAAAAUAAAUGUUAUUUAUUUUCACAUGCUUACCUUGAAUUAACGUCAGUGUCACAUGCUCAGCCUUAUAUACACACACACACACACAUAGAUUGGAUACAGAUAAAGAUAGCGCACUUUUACAGUUAGUUAAUUCAGCCUCUGAUUUAUGAUUUCCGGUCUCCCACAUGGCAGGCCUGUGGUUUCUUGAAUGGAUUCACUGAUUUGUAGUUGAAGUGAGGGUCUUGUAAGGCAAAGGGCUCACAACAUUUUGUGAGGUUUCUUGUAGACAAAUAUCUAGGAGGUUGAUUCUCAGGUGAACUUUGAAACUGGAACAGGUUAAGCACUUUGGCUACUUGAUGAUUUGCAGCUAGUUUCAGAGUCUGGUUCUCAGACUGGCUGAUGACUGAUGGUUCUGCUGGGUCCUGGAGUAAUAAGGGUGCAGUCCCUGAAACCAGUUUUGAUCACAUGACUACUGGGUUAACAUUCUGAGGCCCACCCUAUCUAGUUUGGGUGGAGGAGACCAUUGUAAUGCAAUGGGAAGUUGAGAAUGGCCACUGAGUUUUGAUCUUCUCUUUUGUCCAGUAUGAAACAUGGAGACAGGCAGUCUGGAACCCCCAUAGUCAUUAGAUGUUGCCCCAUCCUUAAGCAAUGAAAUCUAUGAAUUCCACAGAUGGCUGUGAGGUACCUUUGCUUAUGUCCAUAUUUAAUUAGGUAUUUGCUAGAGACUUGAUGCUGGCUAUAGUUCAAACGCCAAAAGUCACAUAAUUUGUGGCAGCCAUCUUAACAGCUUGUUUGUGUCCAAUUUUUCAAAGUCUUAACUUAAAAUGCAUAAUAUGACAUAUCUGUAUUGGGCAUGUCAAACCCUAUCUUGAAAAUUUUGAUCAAAUUAGCCUUAAUCUUCCAAAUUCCAAAGAAUACAGCUUAGUUUGUGUAAUCUUGCCUCAUAAUUUAAUCCUUGGGGUGCAAGUAUCGUUAGCCUAUGCCGCAUUCCCUCCAUGGUCAAUAUACCCUUUCUAAGGUGUGGAACGCAGAAUUUCUCACAGUACUCCAGGCGUGGUCUAACCAGGGCUUUGUAUAGCUAAAGCAGGAUUUCUACCUCCUUGUAUUCUGUUCUUCUCUUUAUAAAAGCCAGCAUUCCAUUA